CCUACGGGGGGCAGCAGUGGGGAAUAUUGGGCAAUGGGCGCAAGCCUGACCCAGCAACGCCGCGUGAAGGAAGAAGGCUUUCGGGUUGUAAACUUCUUUUGUCAGGGACGAAGCAAGUGACGGUACCUGACGAAUAAGCCACGGCUAACUACGUGCCAGCAGCCGCGGUAAUACGUAGGUGGCAAGCGUUAUCCGGAUUUACUGGGUGUAAAGGGCGUGUGGGCGGGGAAGCAAGUCAGAUGUGAAAACCACGGGCUCAACCUGUGGCCUGCAUUUGAAACUGUUUUUCUUGAGUACUGGAGAGGCAGACGGAAUUCCGAGUGUAGCGGUGAAAUGCGUAGAUAUUAGGAGGAACACCAGUGGCGAAGGCGGUCUGCUGGACAGCAACUGACGCUGAGGCGCGAAAGCGUGGGGAGCAAACAGGAUUAGAUACCCCAGUAGUC
rnacentral:rRNA from 1 species